GUGCCCACUUCAGCAGCACAUAUACUAAAAUUGGAAUGAUGCAGAGAAGAUUAGCACAUCCUCUGCACAAGGUGACAUACAAAUUCGUGAAGCAUUCGUAUUUUUA
ensembl:snRNA U6 U6 spliceosomal RNA